AGAGUUUGAUCCUGGCUCAGAUUGAACGCUGGCGGCAUGCCUUACACAUGCAAGUCGAACGGCAGCACGAGAGCUUGCUCUUGGUGGCGAGUGGCGAACGGGUGAGUAAUAUAUCGGAACGUACCCUAGAGUGGGGGAUAACGUAGCGAAAGUUACGCUAAUACCGCAUACGAUCUACGGAUGAAAGUGGGGGAUCGCAAGACCUCAUGCUCAUGGAGCGGCCGAUAUCUGAUUAGCUAGUUGGUGGGGUAAAAGCUCACCAAGGCGACGAUCAGUAGCUGGUCUGAGAGGACGACCAGCCACACUGGAACUGAGACACGGUCCAGACUCCUACGGGAGGCAGCAGUGGGGAAUUUUGGACAAUGGGCGCAAGCCUGAUCCAGCAAUGCCGCGUGAGUGAAGAAGGCCUUCGGGUUGUAAAGCUCUUUUGUCAGGGAAGAAACGGUGGACUCUAAUACAGAUCACUAAUGACGGUACCUGAAGAAUAAGCACCGGCUAACUACGUGCCAGCAGCCGCGGUAAUACGUAGGGUGCAAGCGUUAAUCGGAAUUACUGGGCGUAAAGCGUGCGCAGGCGGUUGUGCAAGACAGAUGUGAAAUCCCCGGGCUCAACCUGGGAAUUGCAUUUGUGACUGCACGGCUAGAGUGUGUCAGAGGGGGGUAGAAUUCCACGUGUAGCAGUGAAAUGCGUAGAGAUGUGGAGGAAUACCGAUGGCGAAGGCAGCCCCCUGGGAUAACACUGACGCUCAUGCACGAAAGCGUGGGGAGCAAACAGGAUUAGAUACCCUGGUAGUCCACGCCCUAAACGAUGUCUACUAGUUGUCGGGUCUUAAUUGACUUGGUAACGCAGCUAACGCGUGAAGUAGACCGCCUGGGGAGUACGGUCGCAAGAUUAAAACUCAAAGGAAUUGACGGGGACCCGCACAAGCGGUGGAUGAUGUGGAUUAAUUCGAUGCAACGCGAAAAACCUUACCUACCCUUGACAUGUCUGGAAUCCUUGAGAGAUCAGGGAGUGCUCGAAAGAGAAUCAGAACACAGGUGCUGCAUGGCUGUCGUCAGCUCGUGUCGUGAGAUGUUGGGUUAAGUCCCGCAACGAGCGCAACCCUUGUCAUUAGUUGCUACGAAAGGGCACUCUAAUGAGACUGCCGGUGACAAACCGGAGGAAGGUGGGGAUGACGUCAAGUCCUCAUGGCCCUUAUGGGUAGGGCUUCACACGUCAUACAAUGGUACAUACAGAGGGCCGCCAACCCGCGAGGGGGAGCUAAUACCAGAAAGUGUAUCGUAGUCCGGAUUGUAGUCUGCAACUCGACUACAUGAAGUUGGAAUCGCUAGUAAUCGCGGAUCAGCAUGUCGCGGUGAAUACGUUCCCGGGUCUUGUACACACCGCCCGUCACACCAUGGGAGCGGGUUUCACCAGAAGUGGGUAGCCUAACCGCAAGGAGGGCGCUCACCACGGUGGGAUUCGUGACUGGGGUGAAGUCGUAACAAGGUA
rnacentral:rRNA from 1 species